CCAACAACAUUCGAAAUAAAAUGGCGAAGUACAUCUCCCUUGCACUUUUGGUCGUGACCUUCUAUGUUUCUUCAGUGUCUUCCGCUGAUAUUGUUACUUGCUUAACCAAAGAAGUUAAUAAUUUUGUGGGAAAAACUGUCCCCAAUACAAUUGCCAACUUCCACACCCCCAAGGUGUGCAAGAAAUCCAGUAUUGAAUCAAUUGCCGCAUCUUUCGACAAGUUGGCAAAAGCUGAAUUGUUAAAAUGUGGCACCAACUGGUUAUGCCUGGCAGAAGUUCUCUUCAAGUAUCAAUAUAACCUGGUGGUCAACGCAGCCGAGUGCGAGAAGGAAUAUAUUAUUAAUGGUCCCAUCGCCACUUUGCUGAAGGCAUUCUACAAAAACAUUGAAAAGUGCAUGUCAGGCACCACUGUGCCUACUCUGCCAUUGAUCUUGCCAAAGGUGUAAGAUAUUUUGCAAAUUUAGAGCAAGAAGUAAUUAUGUUAACUGUUGUAACAUAAUAAAUGCAUUAUAAAAA